GGAUGUGAGGGCGAUCUGGCUGCAACAUCUGUCACCCCAUUGAUCGCCAGGGUUGAGUCGGCUGAUCUGGCUGGCUAGGCGGGUGUCCCCUUCCUCCCUCACCGCUCCAUGUGCGUCCCUCCCAAAGAGGACGACCUUCCCCGAAUAGAGGGUAUACGAGUAGCUGCGCUCCCCUGCUAGAACCUCAAAACAAGCUCUCAAGAAAGCAAGCUGAGCAAUGCAGGGGAAGCAAUGUGACUGCUUCCUGACCUGCUUGAGUUCCAGUCCUGACUCUCUUU
rnacentral:snRNA from 1 species